UCAGAUGGCAACUUUACACCUACCUCGUCCUCUGGAUUUCUGCCUGAAAAUUCACUGCAACACCUGUUCCCCACUGAACCUGGUCUUCAGACAAGCCCCUGAAUCCACCGACAAUCUUUUGUUAUCACUUCUCAAGCAUGUAGUUUACAGGGUAUUUCUCAGAGCCUGCCUCACAAACGGUCUAGACUGGAUCACCAGUUGGGAAACUGUAGGGCAUGAAAGGCAUCACUGAGUCAAUGGAACCUCAAGAGUUAUCCAACAUCCAAAAAGAGAAGAAUUCAGGCUAAGAACUGUACUGCUACUCCAGUGCCGCUUGACCAUGGAAACAAAAGGAUCCUUUCUCCAAUCAACAAGAAGUCAAAGAGUGAUCCGGGGACCUCUUCUGAAGACUCAGCUGGCUGUGGAUGUUGGUUUCGGCCCUGCCUAAGCCGAAGGCUCACUCAUCAGGCGCCACGUUUCUGCUGGAGAAGCAGAGUGGCUUAGUGACAAGAGCACUUUUAAGAAGAUCAAUCUAUGGUAUUUA